ACGGCCGCGGGAUUCUCCACCGUGCAAAGGUAGCAUAAUCACUUGUCUCCUAAAUAGAGACUAGUAUGAACGGCCAAAUGAAGAUUUACCUGUCUCUUGAAGCCUAUCUAUGAAACUGAUCUUCCAGUACAAAAGCUGAAAUUCAAACACAAGACGAAAAGACCCUGUGGAACUUAAAGCCACAGCCAACAAAAUGGACCUAUCGCUUUUAGUUGGGGCAACUUUGGAAAAAAGCAAAACUUCCAAUCAACUAUCUAGGCAGACAUGCCGACAUAUAAUAAACUAGAUCCAGUACUACUGAUUAAAGAAAAAAGCUACCCCAGGGAUAACAGCGCCAUCCCCUCAUAGAGCCCCCAUCGACGAGCGGGGUUUACGACCU
rnacentral:rRNA from 1 species